GAUGAAGAACGUAGCGAAAUGCGAUAAGUAGUGUGAAUUGCAGAAUUCAGCGAAUCAUCGAAUCUUUGAACGCACAUUGCGCCCUUCGGUUAUUCCUUAGGGCAUGCCUGUUCGAGCGUCAUUUCAACCUUCAAGCCUGGCUUGGUGUUGGGCGCUGUCCCGCCUCCGCGCGCGGACUCGCCCCAAAUGAAUUGGCAGUCGCACCCUCCGAGCCGCGAGCGCAGCACAAGUCGCGCGGGCGGAACUCUGGGGGGACGGACGCUCCACAAGACCCUUUCUCAGUCUUGACCUCGGAUCAGGUAGGGAUACCCGCUGAACUUAAGCAUAUCAAUAAGCGGAGGA
rnacentral:misc_RNA from 1 species